AGAUAGGAUGUGACCUCUGCUAACACGUUGACUGUUAGGGCUGAUUCAGAUAAUCUAGCUAAGUGUAUGUACCCUUCCUCCCUCACUGCUCCUAUAUGGCCCUCCUGAAGCUGUGUGCUUGGACAGAGAGUAUGGCUUUCCCCCUACAGAGGAAGACACAAUCUUUAGUCAUGGGUAUGCAAACAGCUGUUUCACCCUGCUAGAGUUCACAGAUGUUCUACACACACAUGCACGCACAUACAGAUACAAGGGGAAAGGGAGGAAGGGAUGGAGAGAUCCCAAAAUGAUGGAAAAUG
rnacentral:snRNA from 1 species